CGACGACGACCGCCGCGUUCAUGUCCAUUUCCCACAACCUUAAAACCGGCGGCAUCUUGGUGUCCCCUUCUCUGCACCACCCUUCCUCAAGAUGGUGCAUAGAAGGGGACACCAUGAUGCCGAGAAGGGUAAAUAAUGUCCCACAACCUUA
rnacentral:pre_miRNA from 1 species